rnacentral:rRNA from 1 species
AUUGAACGCUGGCGGCAGGCUUAGCACAUGCAAGUCGAGCGGAGUGAUGGUGCUUGCACUAUCACUUAGCGGCGGACGGGUGUGUAAUGCUUAGGAAUCUGCCUAUUAGUGGGGGACAACAUCUCGAAAGGGAUGCUAAUACCGCAUACGUCCUACGGGAGAAAGCAGGGGAUCACUUGUGACCUUGCGCUAAUAGAUGAGCCUAAGUCGGAUUAGCUAGUUGGUGGGGUAAAGGCCUACCAAGGCGACGAUCUGUAGCGGGUCUGAGAGGAUGAUCCGCCACACUGGGACUGAGACACGGCCCAGACUCCUACGGGAGGCAGCAGUGGGGAAUAUUGGACAAUGGGGGGAACCCUGAUCCAGCCAUGCCGCGUGUGUGAAGAAGGCCUUAUGGUUGUAAAGCACUUUAAGCGAGGAGGAGGCUCUUUUGGUUAAUACCCAAGAUGAGUGGACGUUACUCGCAGAAUAAGCACCGGCUAACUCUGUGCCAGCCGCCGCGGUAA